UUCAGACCCGCUUUUAACAUGUAAUUUUGGA
rnacentral:piRNA from 1 species